GACGAACGCUGGCGGCGUGCCUAAUACAUGCAAGUAGAACGCUGAAGGAGGAGCUUGCUUCUCUGGAUGAGUUGCGAACGGGUGAGUAACGCGUAGGUAACCUGCCUGGUAGCGGGGGAUAACUAUUGGAAACGAUAGCUAAUACCGCAUAAAAGUAGAUGUUGCAUGACAUUUGCUUAAAAGGUGCAAUUGCAUCACUACCAGAUGGACCUGCGUUGUAUUAGCUAGUUGGUGAGGUAACGGCUCACCAAGGCGACGAUACAUAGCCGACCUGAGAGGGUGAUCGGCCACACUGGGACUGAGACACGGCCCAGACUCCUACGGGAGGCAGCAGUAGGGAAUCUUCGGCAAUGGACGGAAGUCUGACCGAGCAACGCCGCGUGAGUGAAGAAGGUUUUCGGAUCGUAAAGCUCUGUUGUAAGAGAAGAACGAGUGUGAGAGUGGAAAGUUCACACUGUGACG
rnacentral:rRNA from 1 species